rnacentral:lncRNA from 1 species
GUGGGACUCAAGAAAUAAAAUAAAAUAAAAUGGUCAGGCAACCAAGGCGUGGCUGUUUGGGGGAUCCAUGAGUUUUAAAGAAGAGAAUUAAAUGAGGUGGGUCUCAUGGAUUUUAAUGAAGAAUUUAGUGUGGAAGUUAUGCUUGGGCGCUGGUUUCAAGUGGACAGCCGCUAUUUGUAUACGAGUGGGUGCGUUUGAGCGGAAGCUACGUGCAGG